AUCUACGGCCAUAGGAUCCAUAAAUCAUCGUAUUCUGUCAGCACUGCGAAAUUAAAUUGGUUAUCGCUCGAUAAGUACCACAGCGGAGGACCAUUUGGGACUUUCGAGUGCUGUAGUUG
rnacentral:rRNA from 1 species